ACCAGGUGUACUUUGAGUGAACUCAGGGACCGACUGGCCUGACCUCUUGAGGUCAACACACACCAUGGGAAGGGUAGAAGAUGCCAGGCAGCACUUCCUGUACCGCCAUGGAGCAGCCGCAUUGUGUGUGUUGGUACCAUGAAGAAGCCAAGCCUUGAGCUAGGAUAUCUGCAUGUUGGGAUGGAGAAUGUAUCCUUCGUUCUGUGAGAGGAGAUAAGGAGUGGGUUGAAGAGAGACUGGUGGACACACUGCAAGCUGUGACAGGACUUUCAACAGCAGAGGGAAUGGAG